UAGUGGCGAACGGGUGAGUAACACGUGGGCAAUCUGCCCUGCACUCUGGGACAAGCCCUGGAAACGGGGUCUAAUACCGGAUACGAGUUUCACAGGCAUCUGUGAUUCUGGAAAGCUCCGGCGGUGCAGGAUGAGCCCGCGGCCUAUCAGCUUGUUGGUGAGGUAACGGCUCACCAAGGCGACGACGGGUAGCCGGCCUGAGAGGGCGACCGGCCACACUGGGACUGAGACACGGCCCAGACUCCUACGGGAGGCAGCAGUGGGGAAUAUUGCACAAUGGGCGAAAGCCUGAUGCAGCGACGCCGCGUGAGGGAUGACGGCCUUCGGGUUGUAAACCUCUUUCAGCAGGGAAGAAGCGAGAGUGACGGUACCUGCAGAAGAAGCGCCGGCUAACUACGUGCCAGCAGCCGCGGUAAUACGUAGGGCGCAAGCGUUGUCCGGAAUUAUUGGGCGUAAAGAGCUCGUAGGCGGCUUGUCGCGUCGGUUGUGAAAGCCCGGGGCUUAACCCCGGGUCUGCAGUCGAUACGGGCAGGCUAGAGUUCGGUAGGGGAGAUCGGAAUUCCUGGUGUA
rnacentral:rRNA from 1 species